rnacentral:tRNA from 1 species
GUAGGUAGAUAUAAAAACCUUCUGACUACGGAUCAGAAGGUUAGGAGUUCGAAUCUUCUC